rnacentral:lncRNA from 1 species
AAAUGCUAAUCCCAAUUUAAUUUAACUUUGUACUUCAAUCAUACAAAUAAGUUAUCAAACAAAUUAUAUACAAUAUGCAAAUAUAAAUAUAUUUUCGGAUUAGCACUCAGUUAGAUUUAAUCACAAUCAAAUUGGAGAUACGUCUUAGAUUGUUAGAACAAUUAUCGCACAAAAAAUUUGAUUGUGAUUUAAAUCUAACUAAAUCUUAUUAUGAAAAUAAAUAAAUCAACUUACAGAUGGUCGCUAAAUCCAAAUAAAUACUUAAUUGAUCCGGAAGCGUGCGAGGCACUGCCCUAAGGCGUAUUCCCGUCCUUACGUGCGGGAUUAAUCAGAAAUACCGUCCCAAGAUACGACCGGAAUUCCUCCUCCUACGAGCACGAAGCGGAAGAGAUUGACGAAGACUCUUUCAACACCCGAUGACAAAGAGAUUGAUCAAAAUAAAAUAAAAUCUAAAUAAAAUUUAAACCUUUUUUU